AGUGAACGCUGGCGGUAGGCCUAACACAUGCAAGUCGAACGAGUGGCGGACGGGUGAGGAAUACAUCGGAAUCUACUCUGUCGUGGGGGAUAACGUAGGGAAACUUACGCUAAUACCGCAUACGAUUGAAUGAGCCGAUGUCGGAUUAGCUAGUUGGCGGGGUAAAGGCCCACCAAGGCGACGAUCCGUAGCUGGUCUGAGAGGAUGAUCAGGCAAACUGGAAAUGGGAAACGGGCCAGACCCCUUCGGGAGGCAGCCAUUGGGAAUAAUUGAAAAAGGGCGCAAGCCUGAUCCAGCCAUACCCGGGGGGUGAAGAAGGCCUUUGGGUUUGAAAGCCCUUUUGUUUGGAAAACGGUACCCAAAGAAUAAGCACCGGCUAACUUCGUGCCAGCAGCCGCGGUAAUAC
rnacentral:rRNA from 1 species